CGCACCUUGCGCCCCUUGGCUAUUCCGAGGGGCAUGCCUGUUUGAGUAUCAUGAACACCUCAACUCUCAUGGUUUGCCAUGACGAGCUUGGACUCUGGAGGUUUUGCUGGUCUCUGGUCAGCUCCUCUCAAAUGAAUCAGCUUGCCAGUAUCUGGUGGCGUCACGGGUGUGAUAACUAUCUACGCUCAGGGCCACCCGCCAGGUAACCUCCAGCGAUGGGGGUUUGCUGGGGCUCACAAACGUCUCUCUUCAGAGGGGACAGCUUUUUGAACGUUCGAUCUCAAAUCAGGUAGGAUUACCCGCUGAACUUAA
rnacentral:misc_RNA from 1 species